rnacentral:lncRNA from 1 species
GACUGCGCGGCGGCGAUUACAGACAUUUCGGGGGUCCGGGGCCUGUCGCGACUGCUAAGCGCUCGGCGCCUGGCGCUGGCCAAGGCGUGGCCAACAGUGUUGCAAACAGGAACCCGAGGUUUUCACUUCACUGUUGAAGGAACACGAGGGCAUCUGCUAAAGUUUCAGAUUCCAUUUCUGCUCAGUAUCCAGUAGUGGAUCAUGAAUUUGAUGCAGCGGUGGUAGGCGCUGGAGGGGCAGGCUUGCGAGCUGCAUUUGGCCUUUCUGAGGCAGGGUUUAAUACGGCAUGUGUUACAAAGCUGUUUCCUACCAGGUCACACACUGUUGCAGCGCAGCUAGAAAAUUAUGGCAUGCCGUUUAACAGCACUGAAGAUGGGAAGAUUUAUCAGCAUGCAUUUGGUGGACAGAGCCUCAGGUUUGGAAAGGGCGGGCAGGCCCAUCGGUGCUGCUGUUUGGCUGAUCGGACCGGCCACUCAAUAUUGCACACCUUAUAUGGGAGGUCUCUUUGAUGUGAUACCAGCUGUUUUGUGGAGUAUUUUGCCUUGGAUCUCCUGAUGGAGAAUGGGGAGUGAUGUGGUGUCAUCGCACUGUGCAUAGAGGACGGGUCCAUCCAUCGCAUAAGAGCAAAGAACACUGUUGUUGCCACAGGGCUGCGGGUGCACCUGCUUCAGCUGCACAUCUGCCCACACCAGCAGCGGCGAUGGCACGGCCAUGAUCACCAGGGAAGGCCUUCCUUGCCAGGACCUCGAGUUUGUUCAGUUCCACCCCACAGGUACAUAUGGUGCUGGUUGUCUCAUUACGGAAGGAUGUCAUGGAGAGGGAGGCAUUCUGAUUAACAGUCAAGGUGAAAGGUUUAUGGAGCGAUACGCCCCCGUCGCGAAGGACCUGGCGUCUAGAGUUGUGGUGUGUCGGUCGAUGACUGGAGAUCCGCGAAGGAAGGUGGGUGUGAUUUACCACCAGCAUUGUCUGAGUGGGCACACGGGCCGGGGUUGCUUCUGUGAGUUUCAGCACCGCUCGCCCUCACCUUCGGGUGCAGGCACACGUGCACAGCCACCUCUCUCAGCUGCAGGCAGGUGUCUGUUAGUCUGUGAUAUUUUCCCAAAGACCUACAUUUUGAAAAUUGUAGCCAGUUUCUUUCUCAAAUCUGUGGAACAGAGUUUCUCUUAGUGUGUGUGAGUAUGUGACGGAGUAUGGGAGAGAGAGACACACACCCAACCUGAAGUCGGUGUGUGAGCCUUGGGUGUUGUGUCUGAUACCCACAGAUGUUUUUCAGCAGCUUUCAAAGUGUGCGGGUUAUUUGGCUUUCAGUAAAACAAUUUACAGUUCUUUCAUUGCCUGACCCUGUUCUUUAAUGUAAUGACACUUACUAAAUAUCUGCUGAUAUGGGCUUUAGAGGUUUUACAUUUUUAUAUUUAAAAAAAAAAAA